CACGGGGAGAGAGACGCCGCAAGGCCGCCGCCAUUCGCCAACGCACACAUCCAUCAGGAGAUCCAUCCAUCCACCAACACACACAUCCAUCCAUCUACGCGCCCAGUACUCACCCGCACACCUCUAGCAUCCAGCCAUCACAUCUCAUCCAUCAUCUAUCCACGCACCCAAGAUUCAGGUACAAUGCAGGCAGCCACGCAAACGGGAGACGUCCAGAUCGCAUAGACGGACGAACGCAGCCGGGCAAGAACACCGAUGCCAGCGACAUGGACACCAAGCUCACGUUUCCAAAGGCGAGGAGACCCAAAAAGGAGGAGACGCGCCCGCAGGGUGGCAGCGUCAAGGAAACCGAGGAGGACCGUGUGCUUGUCCAACCCGUAGCCGGGCCAACUGCGGAUCAGGCGACGGCUUCUGCAACGAUGACGGAUGUCCGCCGUCAAGUCCGGCAGAGCCCACGCGCUGCAUCAACAUAAGCAUCCAUCUUCCUCAUAAUCAAUCCCACUGUCUGUUCUCCCUUUUUAUCUCUUAUUUCAGGGGCAGCGAUAACACAUAGUGCGCGCCCUGGCGAAGAGAGGCAACAUGUGUUGCAACAUCAAGGAGAUGGAGAGGACGCGCCCACGACGGUGGCCAGCUCGCCGGGCAACACACAUGCCUCUAGCCAUGUCUGAAGGCGACGGAGGACGUGCCUGUCGCAGUGGCGACGGCCAACCCCGUGAGUCCAGAAGCAAAGGAGCACGGUGAUGAGGGGCCAUGUCCUCUGGCUCGAUCUGUACGCCAGGCUCGAUGGGCGGACCUGCAGUGGCAACACAUGCCCCAGUGGAUGCGAUGCAUCUGAAUGCUUCCAUCAUCUAGCUAUGUUCGUCUUUGCUUUAAGGUCUAACACGCAGAAGGAGCGAAGAGGCCGCAACUAUAUGCACCAACAGCAGUCACGACUAUACGCGCCAAUGAUGACCGUGCACACCUUGCCAAGGAGGGCAACAUGCUCGGUAGCCGGGACGGCCACGGAUGACACGCCGGCAUCCGAGACGACGACGGACGCUCGUCAGCGAGCCCAACGAAACCUUUCAUAUGGCUGCCACACGCAUCCUUCUUUAUCAUUGGCAAUCAUCACACUAUUACUUCUCUCUUUUCAUCUCUCAUUCCAGUGAGGAGAUGAGAUGCACCCGCAUCAGUGGUGCCGAGGAGCGACUACCCAGAGCACUCUACUGGGAGAUGCACACACACAACUAGGAGGCGGUGAGUACACGCGCCGAUGGUGGCCGCGGGCACCGUGCCAAGGAGAACCCUGUCGUGGGUACAGGCGUAGCCGGGACACACCGUCGCGGGUGACCCGCCGGCGGUCACGGCACCCUGCAUGGCAACGAAGGACGCGCACCGGAGAAUGAACCGGCAAAGCUCCCUUCAAUCUGCACCAACAAUUGCAUCCUGAAAUACCCGGAUGUGCAUUCUCCCAUCUACACCGACACAAGACGCCCCGACGACUGCAACUCCAUGGACGUGCCAGGCGCCACGAUGUCGACGGCAGUGAGGCUGUCGGUGACUAGCUUGGCGCCAACUCCACCUCGGCGGUGACGUGGAAGGUAUAGCCGGCGUGCGGCCCGGUGCCAUCUACACCGCCACGACAACAUCGAAGCUGCUGGCCCGCAGCCAGGUGCCAUAUCCAACAUGCCGGCAUACAACCCCUGCGCCAUGUACACCUCCAUGGCUGUUGGGUCAACCUUGGUCUUCCGGUGCACGCAACGGCAGCAGCAGCAUUUACGUCUUAGAUGCAUGCAUGGCUGCAUGUCAGCACGGCAGCAAGUAAAAUCUUUUUUACUAGCAAGAGCAGCAGGCGUGCCUUAGUAGCUAAGUAGUAAGAGGUCAGCAGUGACGUAGUUCACUUGUUUGUCGUCAGCCUAUGCGUAGUAUAGUCGGUUCAUUACACUAUAUCUAGGGCCGAUGCCCAUCGUUGUAAGCAAGGCCGUUUCAUUUCUAUCCAGCCAAGCCUCAAGUGUAGUACUACUACAUAUGCGUGUGUGUGUGUGUGUAAGCAGCACUUGCAAGUGUGCUUUGCCAUUCUGCUUGUUGCUUCGGUAGUAUACUUGAGUGCAAGUAGUAGUAGGCUAGUACCACACAGUCGCUGCCCUAUGUAGUUCAUCUCAUCCUCGACUUCGUCCGAUCCUGAGUAGCCAGCUACUCUGUACGUAGUUUGGGCCAACAAUGGCGUUGUCACAGGGGUCGCCGGCAUGCAGCCCAGUGUCCUCACCAUCUACCUCAACAGUGCAUCUGACAAGUGGGCAAUGGAACCUCCACAGAGACGGUGGCGGGAACGAUCGGAGCUUGCUUGCGUAUGGCCGGCUGCUAACUCUGCCCUCACACUACCUCACCAAAUAUGAAGAUUACGCGAUGGGGCUGCCAGCUAGUGAUCCGGCCUUGCCGUGGACUACGGCUUGCCCUUUUGUCUUCUUCAUGUCUUCAUCAACCAUCUCCUAGCAUGAGAUGCACUCCGUUUCAAUCCACGUUGUCUCCCUAACGAUGGCAAACGACAACCGUUACACGCAUGCGCCCUGAGGCAGCGACCACGCGCGCCAACGAAGGUUAUGCCGAGGUAGGAACUGUCGGCAUCCACAUGUAGACGUCUUCAACCAGCCAAGAGAUGUCUACAUACUCACGCAUAUGGCAUCAAUUAAUCCAACAUGUCGUUCAAGUCAAACCAAGGUAAUUAAACAUUGAUUUAUACAAUAUUUUGCAUAGUACAGGCAUAUGUAUUUUUAGGUACUGGAUGAUUUAGCAACAUUAAGCAUCAUCACCAUCAUUCUGGGACGCGUGCCCGCAAAGCCAGAACCAGAUGUGUCUCCAUGGACAUCAUUGAGUGGGUGACAUCAACAUGUCACACCACUCAGCAACCGCGGCGCUCGAGCCAUCCUCUACAACUUCCAUGUUCAGCACUCACAACUACACCAGGGCCAUCGACAUCAACCCCUGGCUCGAUGAGGAGGACCGCUACAUCAACAUGUUGUCACCAUCUUCAUCGGCUUUACACCCGGCGUGGAUGCCGACUACACCGACAUGCCGCCAUUCGACUACAUCGACACGGUGCAUCGGUCUCCAUCUUCAUCAACUCUUCAUCUCGCGAGGACGCCGACUACACCAGCAAGCUGCCAUUAUUCAACGCCAACCGUCUACACCAAGCGGAGGUCGUCCCCGUAACUGCGACGUCCCUAGGUCUACAUCGACAUGCUCAUAUUGUCGUCAUCUUCAAGCAACGCUGCCACACGGCGACACUCAAGUCUACUCCGACUUCUACAUCAACACCUUUCCCCAACAUCGUCCAAGCUCCGACGAGGCGAAGCCAGUUCACCGACAUGUCUCUCUUCCGAUGAAGCUACCCGUAUCUUGCCGGGCACUGACGAGGCGAAGGCAAGACACACACAGUCCGACACCGACGAGGUGGACACCACCAGGCCGGGCACCGACGAGGAGAAGGCCACCCAUCUGUCUGAGCUGAUGAGGCCAGACAUCUUCAUCAUGGACAUCGACAAGCCGGAGGGAUACAGCUAAGUAUCGCCGGAUCGACGGACGUACCGCUCCACCCUUCUAUGCCACCACAUCAUCACCAACCUUCCUGACGAGAAGGUCUUCACCGUCGACCUCGAUGCACCAUGGGAGCUCUACUUUGACGGCGCCUCCCGCACGGACGCCGACGCUGACGGAGCCCGAAGGUGAAGGGCAGGCGCAUGUUCGGUGUUCAAGAUGCUGCAAGGAGGGGUGAUGUAUCACUCAUUUUCCCUCCUCAAAGAAGAAUGCUCAAAUAAUGAAGCGGAGUAUCAGGCACUCA